rnacentral:tRNA from 1 species
GAGGGUAUAGCUCAGUGGUAGGUAGACCGCGUGCUUAGCAUGCAUGGGUCCUGGGUUCAAUCCCCAGUAGCUCCG